rnacentral:rRNA from 1 species
GAUGAACGCUGGCGGCGUGCCUAAUACAUGCAAGUCGAGCGAACGGACGAGAAGCUUGCUUUUCUGAUGUUAGCGGCGGACGGGUGAGUAAAACGUGGAUAACCUACCUAUAAGACUGGGGUAACUUCGGGAAACCGGAGCUAAUACCGGAUAAUAUGUUGAACCGGAUGGUUCAAAAGUGAAAGCCGGUCUUGAUGUCACUUAUAGAUGGAUCCGAGCUGCAUUAGCUAGUUGGUAAGGUAACGGCUUACCAAGGCAACGAUGCAUAGCCGACCUGAGAGGGUGAUCAGCCACACUGGAACUGAGACACGGUCCAGACUCCUACGGGAGGCAGCAGUAGGGAAUCUUCCGCAAUGGGCGAAAGCCUGACGGAGCAACGCCGCGUGAGUGAUGAAGGUCUUCGGAUCGUAAAACUCUGUUAUUAGGGAAGAACAUAUGUGUAAGUAACUGUGCACAUCUUGACGUUACCUAAACAGAAAGCCACGGCUAACUACGUG